GUUUUAGUAGUUUAAAAUAAAACUUUGGUCUUGUAAAUCAAAAAUAAGAACUUCAUCUUCUAAAACU
rnacentral:tRNA from 1 species